UUUUGUGGAUCUGGACUUUUGUUUGUAUCUGCAGUGCCUUGUUUGGUUUCUUUGAAAUCUUUUACAACAUGUUGCUGCUUAGCUCUUGUCUGCACUUUGGUCCGCCCGCAAACCACAUUAUGACAAGAAGUAGGCUGCAUGCCUAGCUUCAGCUUCAUACCUGUGGCCAUGGAUGUUAUUGGAGCACCUGAAUGAUUUUGACUGAUGUUUUCCAGGUAACUCCAACUGGGAGACACUGAGGCCACAACAGAACACACUGGAGGGACUGUGUGCUCUAUCUGUUCUGGUCUGGGAACACCUUGCAAUCAUCUUUAUUGAGCUGAAGACCAUUGUUGGGGAGAGAGAUGACUGGAGUUUCCCUGGACCUGUAAUUGUCUGGAACCGACAGGAUAAGAGGAUGACAACGAAUGGGUUGAUAAAGAAUUGAUGAAGUGACUUCAGAUGUCCCUGUUCAGGCCAAUUUUGGAUGUGUUGGUGAUUUAAAUAAGGCCUGCUGACUUAAAAUGUAAUUAAAAAAAAAAAUUUCAGUAUUUUCAUGGAAA